GGUGAACUGAAAAACCAAGUCAAGCUGGUGCCACAAAUGACCAUCUACUGGCACUCUCAACAGCAGUUCAGUUAGUACUUAAGACUGAAGAAAAAGUAUCUUAUCUGUUAAACAUCUCUUAGUUUUUCCAAGGUACUGGAUUAUAAGCUAUUAGGAUAGACGUUUUUCUUUUUAUAAACGUGACACAGGAUAUUCUAAGUUCAGUUUGUGUUUUAUUUUAUUUCAUUUAAAAUAAAUAUAUGCAGACAGAAAAAUAUAAAAAGAGCAAAAGCAUAACAACACAGGCCCAAUUUGAGCUUGAGUAAUUAAAUCAAACUCUUGCUGUCUUUGUGUUAUGCCCCGUGGAAAUCAUCACAUCCCCAGUUUCCCUCUGACUGUGAAGCUAACGUUCUUUUCUCAAAUUAGAUCCACAGAGAGUGAGAGCCCUAAAGAGGCCUGUUGACCUACAGGCUAUCAGGAAUGUCUGCUGAAUCAGUGAUUCUUCACUUGAAAACUAAAGAGUGAGUAAACAGCUGGUGAAUUCAGUAUGAAGAAGGUCAACUUCACCACCAGUGAGCAAGCUGUAAAGACUUCAAGAAGUCCUUUACAUCAUACAAUGUCCUGAAGCCUGAUGUGAUUCAAUAAUUUCCAAUGGAAUGCUGGAAAUUUCUGAAAAGAGGAUCUCGCCCCAUCUAAACUUCUCUUACCAUGGCUCUCAGGCUCCAAGUUAUUCACAAUAGAAGAAAUUUCUCAGACCUUCCCAUAGAAAGUUGCUGCUGUUCCAAACUCUGGUCCUUCUAAAAUUGGGGAUGAGGCACAAAAUCUUCAAAGAAGAAAUCACACCUUCAUUCAGUGGCCUCAGCUACACCUUCGGAGCAGCUUCUUUGUUUACUUUUAUCUUUACAAAACCAUUUUCAAUGAUCCACCCUCUGAUUAGUCUGUCUCUACUGACUCAUGGUUUUGUCACUGGCUGGCUACAAGGCUACAGUUUUGAAAAACAUGUAAAUAUGGUUACCAGCUCAAGCACCUAAAAAUGUAGGAUGCCCAGUUAAAUUUGACAAAUAUUUUUUUUAGCCUAAGUACAUCCCUGGAUAUAUUUAGGACAUAUUUAUACUUAGAAAAAUUAUUUAUAUCAAAUAACUGUCUUUUAUCCAGUAACCCAACAUGUGAAGAUUUUGGAAACUAGAUUGAUUUUAGGAGCAUGGAUAUCAAGUUUUGACUCACACAAAAAUCAGAGAAACUGCUCCCAAGGAACAGUCCUAUGGCGAGGCGAACAUGCAUGAGAACAAAAUUUAGCAGUGCUGUAUGCACCACAAUAACCUGUAACAACCUAGCCCUUUCAGGGCUGACUCAUACACCUAGAGAAAUGCAUCUGAACACUCAGUCACUCAGUAAAGACAGAUGGUCUCAUUAGACAUUUGACAAAGAGAAAAAAAAAUGUGCUAAAUUUCAAUUACUAUUUGCUCACUCCCCAAACUCCUUGCCAAAUUUUUAUGAAAUGUAUCCAAAGCCUUCCAUAGGAGGUGUAAUAUUUUGCUCGGGCUGCUAUAACAAAGUGCCACAAACUGGGUGGCUUAAACCAUAGAAGCCUUCUCUCCCAGUUCUGAAGGCCAGGAGUCAGAAGGCAAAGUGUCGGCAGGAUCGGUUCCUGCUGUGAAGGCGAGUCUGCUCCAGGCCUCCUCCAACUUGAGAUGGUUUCCUGGCAAUCUUUAGAGUGUCUUGGCUUAUAGAUUCAUCAUCCCAAUCUCCGCCUUCAUGUUCAUAUGUUGUUCUCUGUGUGUGAUGUCUGUGUCCAAAUUUCCCCUCUUUAUAAGGAUAGAAGUCAUAUUGGACUGGCGGCUCACCCUACUCCAGUGUCACCUCAUCUGAACUAAUCACAUCCGCAAUGACCCUAUUUCCAGAUGCCACAUUCUAAGGUACUAGGGGGUAAGCACUUCAACAUAUGAAUUUGGAGGGGACAUGUUCAACAUGCAAUGGGGGUGAAUCUGUACAGGUGUUAGAAAGACUGGAGAAGGAAUCCAAAACCCAACAACACAGGUCUGUAUGUGAAAACUGACAGGCAGGGUGUUUGACGGGGGAAGCUCCCAGGGCCUGGGUUCUGCCUCAAGGAUCUGUCCAUUCCACACCGGUGGGAAGGGCUGGCGAGUGGACAGGUAGAAGUUGGUCUGCAUGGCAAGCAUGCUGUUCUCACACAGCCUGGAAGCAGGCAGUGGCAGACUAGAAAGACUUACUCCGGGUCCAGUUCAGGCCCUGCCCUGGCUCUGCAGAAUCAUUCCUGGCUGUCCCCCACUUUCAGAACCCUCCCUCAUUAUAUGUAUAGCAUUUACUACCUAUAUCAUUCCUUUAGCAAAGCUCUCAUAUGUAUUUUCUAUGCAAGUUCUGUCUCUACAACUAUAUAAAGGAAGCUUUCGAUUUUCCCAAAGAAUAUUUUUGUGUGUAUUUUAUAUUAUAUGCACACACAUAUAUAAAUAUGAACACAUCCAGCAACGAUAAAGUAACUGAGAGUGGAAUGUUACAAAUCAGACUCUGAGAUCCCUUCUUUAAAAGGUUUCUUCUUUCAGAUAAUUCUUCCAGGCUUUAUGGGCUUUUCAAAGAAUACACAACUUAACUGAGUUCUUGGAGCAGUUAUCAAGUUAUAUUAAUUACUUUUCCCUGACAGAUACAGAUUGAUACGCAUACCAUCCUAGGAACAUGGUCUCCUGUCAUUUCAUUAUUACUGAGGCAAAUUUGUGGAGAGUACAUUUUCUGGAAAAAUGAGAAAUAAUGAUUCUGUGACAUGAAUUAUAAACUCAAAAUGUACCCAUAUAAAAAUGUUAAAAAUUUUAAAAUAUUUGAAAACUAUCAAAUCCAUUGCAAAAUUUGAUUUUCCAAGUUUUAAAAGGCAGAAUCACCUGGCUUUGUUAACUUAGCCCCUCUUUCAACUGGGGAUUGAUAUAAGAAAGGCCUAUUGCCUGAAGACAUUCUUGAGUAGCUGUUGACCCAAGGCCAUGUACAUUAUUUUACAGUCAAUAAAUCUCACCAACUGAAGCUGUUUAUUUCUUACUUUUGCCCAAAUCCUGCCAUGGCUAAUGACCAACAGACAACUGCCAACGGGUCAAUUGUCUUCAGUUUGCUCAAGUUUUAAGAUGGAAAAGAUCUGAUCCCUUCUCCUGGAGUCAUACAGUCUAGUGGGGAAAGACAAAUAGACAAAAAUAGCAUACGAAUAGCCACCACACUUUUGAACUCUUUGUGCUGGAUCCUGUAUUGAGUUCUGUAUUAACUUUUUAAACUCCCCCCUCAGGCCUAUAAUGAAAGUACUGUUGUCACCCCAUGUUAUCAAUGAGAAAACGGAGUUCUAGGCAGGUGAGGCUAUUGCUCAGGUAGUUUGUCUACGUCGCUCAUGGCCGGUCUUAUCUGGUUCAAAAUGUCAAUAGGACUGAGGUUGAGAAACACAAUACUCCCCUUUGGCUCAAUUAAUCUAACUCGUGCAUCAUCUACUCACAGAAACUGCAAUCAACUCACUGGAUCUGCAAGACUCUCUACCAACCAUACACUUAAAGAAAUUAAAAGUCAGGUAUAGGUAGCCAACAUUUUGCUUUACAAAGCUUUCUGAGGACAGUACACUCAAUCUUGAUCAUGCCUGAACCAGCCUUCAGAAAAGACUUGUGAUGGAAAUGUGUCUAGAACUGAGUGCAGUCCAUCUUCCACUGGGAUUUCCUCUGAACACUUUUAAAUUAGGCCAUGUGGCUCUGCUGGAGACUAACUUAGACCAUGUCUCCUCUGUAGUCAAGUCUACGCGCAGAAGGUUGCUUCCGGUGGGUACCUGCACUUCUCUGCCCAGGGCCAUUUUUUUGGCAGAGGAGCCUUGUGACCUCAUAGAGAUGCCAAAUAGAAGUACCAGAGAGGUAAUGCCCCAGCAGUAGCCCUUAACAAAAGGAUGGGUGGAGAGUUGCUGAGUAAGUUUUAUCUGCUUCCUCCCAUGUCAGGUGAAAAUAUGCUAAGUGCCACAGUGACUGAGUGGUCCACAGCGGGGCCUUUAUGGGCUCAUUCCCUUUACUAUCUCGUGUUCCUACUCCACCACCAGUGCUACUUGGGCUUGUAUUCCAAAUCAACUUCUUGCCCUGAGAUCCUCAGCUCAGGUUCUGCCUCUAGGGGAAUACAAAAAUGGAACAAAUCUCAAAAUAGAUGAAACUAUUAGCUAUGCAUAACACACCGAAAAUUGA